CGGGGCGUAGCGCAGCUUGGUAGCGCGCCUGGUUUGGGACCAGGAGGUCGCCGGUUCAAGUCCGGCCGCCCCGACCA
rnacentral:tRNA from 1 species